GACGAACGCUGGCGGCGUGCCUAACACAUGCAAGUCGAGCGAAUGAAGUUCCUUCGGGAAUGGAUUUAGCGGCGGACGGGUGAGUAACACGUGGGCAACCUGCCUCAUAGAGGGGAAUAGCCUCCCGAAAGGGAGAUUAAUACCGCAUAAGAUUGUAGUACCGCAUGAUACAGCAAUUAAAGGAGCAAUCCGCUAUGAGAUGGGCCCGCGGCGCAUUAUCUAGUUGGUGAGGUAAUGGCUCACCAAGGCGACGAUGCGUAGCCGACCUGAGAGGGUGAUCGGCCACAUUGGGACUGAGACACGGCCCAGACUCCUACGGGAGGCAGCAGUGGGGAAUAUUGCACAAUGGGGGAAACCCUGAUGCAGCAACGCCGCGUGAGUGAUGACGGCCUUCGGGUUGUAAAGCUCUGUCUUCAGGGACGAUAAUGACGGUACCUGAGGAGGAAGCCACGGCUAACUACGUG
rnacentral:rRNA from 1 species